rnacentral:rRNA from 1 species
UACGGGGGGAGCAAGCGUUGUUCGGAUUUACUGGGCGUAAAGGGCGCGUAGGCGGCCACCGCAAGUCAAUUGUGAAAUCUCCGGGCUUAACUCGGAAAGGUCAACUGAUACUGCGGGGCUAGAGUGCGGAAGGGGCAACUGGAAUUCCCGGUGUAGCGGUGAAAUGCGUAGAUAUCGAGAGGAACACCUGCGGCGAAGGCGGGUUGCUGGGCCGACACUGACGCUGAGGCGCGAAAGCCAGGGGAGCGAACGGG